rnacentral:lncRNA from 1 species
CCCCAUCCUGUUCUUGUGAUAGUAAGUUAGUUCUCACGAGAUCUGAUGAUUUUAUAAGGGGCUUUUCCACCUUUUGCUUGGCACUUCUUUGCGGCUGCCAUGUGAAGAUGGACGGGUUUGCUUCCUUUUCUGUCACGCUUGUAAGAUUCCUGAGGCCUCCCCAGCACUGCAAAACUGCAUAGGAGCCUCUUUCAAUGGCUGCCACCACCAAAGACCCAUGGACUUCUGGGAAAUACUGCCUAUCUUCCUGCCUGCCGAAAUGGAUGCUUCCUUCCCUUGAACAUCAGACUCAGUUCUUCAGCUUUUGGACUCUUGGACUUAACACCUGUGAUUUGCCAGGGGCUCUCGGGCCUUUGGCUACAGACUGAAGGCUGCACUAUCGGUUUCCCUACUUUCGAGGUUUUGGGACUCGGACUUGCUUCCUUGCUCCUAGCUUGCAGACAGGCUAUCGUGUGUCUUCACCUUGUGAUCGUGUUCAGCUGCUCACCACUGGAAAGCCAAACACAGAAGAUGAAAUUUGAUGAGAAGAAAAGCAGUUUUAUUUGGAAAGCCAGCAAAACUGAGAAGACGGUGAAAUAGCAUUUACAAGUAUGAUCUUACAUUUUUUAGCCUGGCCAGAGGGUAUUUAUGUGAGGGAGGAUAGAGGAAACUAUGUUCUUGCAUUAGAAUCAAGGGGUUACUGAGUACUGCAGACAUCUGGGCACCAGUAAGGGUCUGAGAAGUUUGGGAACUUCUUUGUUAUUGAUCAGGUCACAAUAUUUCUGUAAAUCUUUAACAAAUCAUAGUUGUUUACAUACUUUUUUAAAACCCAGGGAUAGUUUUUAAAACUACAUGAUAAUUGUUUUUGCAUAUUAUGUUGGUACUCUAAAAUUAGCCUAGCCUACGUGCAGGAAUGGGUAAAGGCCCUUUAAACAAAAAUGAAGUGGGUUGUGUUAGUUCUUUUGCCUUCUCACUGUUACAUCUUUAGCCUACACAACGUGAGGACAAUAAGAAUGAAAACCUUUAUGAUGAUCCAAUUCUACUUAAUACAUAAUAAAAAUAUUUUCUCUUCUUUAUACUUUUCUUAAUAACCUUUUUAUUUUUUCUAGGUUACUUUAUUGUAAAAAUACAGUAUAUGAUACAUAUAACAUAAAACAUGUUAAUAAACUGCUUAUGUUACCAGUAAGCCUUCUGGUCAAUAGUGGACUAUUAGUAGUUACAUUUUUGGGAAGUCAAAAGUUACCCAUAAAUGUUCAACUGCAUGAGAAGUUGGUACCUCAUCCCCUAUAUUGCUCAAGGGUCAACUGUACUUUCUAAACUCAUGAUGGAAACUUUCAUGUAGUUCUAUUAUAUAUGAGAUACAGACCAAGAUACAGAUCAAACUGGCUAAGGCCAGCUCAAAUUUAAAUUCAAUUAGGAUUAAGAUGACCAGUAGAGACUUGAAAAGUAGUGGCUGAAGUAAGUUAGAGGUUUAUUUUUCUCUUCUGUGAAAAUGUGACUUUAAGUGGUACAAGACUGGUAGGCAGCUUUGACUCAUGAAGUUUUCAAGGAUUCAGAAUCCUUUUAUACUAAUGCUUCACUUUGUAUUGCCUCCAUCCUCAAGUCAUUACAUCUGCAUUCUAGCCAGCAGGAAGGAUAAGGGGAAAAAGAAGAAGAAAAGAAUAAAGUGUGCAUGCUAAGAAAGCUGCCAUCCACCAUUUCCACUUAUAACCAUUUUUGCCAGACCCUAAUCACACAACCACAUGUGUCUACAAAGGAGACUGGGAAAUAUAGUUUUUAUUCUAAACAGCCAGAAUGGAGGUCUUAUUAUAAUGGAAAGAAAUGUGAAUAUAUAGUUGGGCACAAAUAAUAGUCUCUGCCAUAAAUAGAUAGCUUGCAAAUAGAUAACAGUGAUCACAAAUAUGCAUGUAUUCUAUAUAACUAUUACUUAACAAAAAAUAAUAAAUCCCAUCUCCACUCUGAAAUGCAACCCUGGUUUAUUAUAGAACAUUUGAAUUGACAUAGAGGAAACCUUCUUGAUUAGUAUAGAACCAUUUUAAACUGAAAUCAUGCUAUUCUUCUAUACUAUACUAGGUGUUGUAUUUUCCUCUAAUUUGGUCUUGAAGUCUCCCUAUCAAGGGUGGUGAUAAACUCUAGCCCUGCCAUGAUGGGACUCCAGGGAAGAUGAUUGUGAAUGUUUACAAUGUGCCUUUCACAGGACAUUUCUUUAUUGUGGUGGAGGGCCUAAUGCCUAAAUGCCCCACACAUGACCAGGUGUCCCCCUCACAGAAAACUUAUUUAUACUGGAAGAUAGCCUUGUGUCUCUUGUCUCAUUAGUGUUCACUUUAUUUCUUCCAGAUUUGCUUCAGGUAUUCUGUGAUAUGGCAGAAUCAGAAUCAGAUUAUAACCCAAACAGGCAAUGGAAGAAAAAACAGGGCAUCAGGGACUAUAUAGAGUCCAGUAGACAUUGUUUUGACUGAACAACCAGAUGAGUAAUUUGCUCUUAAAUGAUUGGGUAACAAAUAAAAAGAGGGUCAGAAAUUCUAAGCCCAUGAAUUAGGGAAGAGCUGGGAAUAAGAUAUUGUUGUCAUGUGUCAGCCGAAAGGGCAAGAGCCCAGGUCCUUGAAAAUUUUGUUUAAUGACUUACUUGAUAACUUGACUGCUUUUUAUUGAUCCAGUUGCCUUCACCACUGGGUAUAGACACCAGAGAACAGACAUAUGCAAGAUGAUUUAAAGACAUGAGCAUAUUCACAUGAGACUAGGAUGAUGGUGUCUUAUUACAUAGAAAUUGAUGGUAUACUCCAAGCAUUUUUACUUUGACAUUGCAGUCACCAUUUUCCAUCGUAUACUUGGUAUCAGUUAUGCCAAUUAUUUACUGCAAUUUCUGUGCUUUGCAAUAACUGAGCUGUAGUAGAAAAUAACCUAUCCAUGCUCAGCAAUAUGACUUUACUUAUGACUAGAAUUUUGGGUUCUGGUUUUAAAACAAAUAUUUAUGAGAGUAAAAGCAAUCAGUUCUUCUCAAGUGAAAAAAAAAUGAGUUGCUAAGGCCAGUUUGAAUUGAAAUAGCCUGAGACUAAUGGGUCCCUUGGAGAAAGAGACCCUGAAAGAGAAGGGGUAGAGGAUAUAGAAAAGAAGGAAGAGAGAUAAAGCUCAACUCCUUUACAAUUUUGUUGGCUGUUCCUGAGUGUCAUUACACAGUCAAACCACCUGCUUUGAAACCACUGCCAGAGAGAUGUCAAAGAUUGUUUUAUUUUGAGCAUGAGGACACAGUCCACUAAAAGAAAGAACGCCACAUUUGUUCAAUUUUUUUUUACCAAUUGUCACAUAAUUUCUGCCAGCCUUCUUAUUCAAAGAUACAUUUUUUUCUUCACUGCAUGCAUAACAUGAAAUGCAACUUUUACUGUGUCCAUAAAGCACCAAAUGAGCUGAAAAUUUAACAAUUGUACAGAUCCCUUGAUAAAUUAAGACAGCUAAUCUGGAUAAUUUAGAUAAAUCACAUGAAAAGAAUUAUGUAAUCUGAUAAAGAUAACUGUAAAAUUGCCCAAUAUCCAUUCAUUAUGCAGCUAAAUCCUCAAGUAAUGCUCUGAAAUGAACUAUGGAAAGUACAUACUAAAGAUAUUUCAAUGAAAUGUUUAAACAUCUCAGUUAUGGGGGCAUUACUCCUUCAACUAAUUUUUUAAUGUUACAUUAAACAUUUUGUACUUGGUUUGUAUUAAGUUUUUAUGUACUUUAAAUGUACUGAAGUUUGAAUGGUUUUCUACUGGAAGAAGCAGCAUUUUUGUGCAAUAGCAAAAGCACUGGACUCAAAGAAAAGAGAUCUGACUUUUGUUCCAACCCUAAUAGUAAUAAAUCAAGUGACUUCUGACAAGUCCCUUAACCCUUUCAAGUCUCCGUUUCUUUGACCAUUGAACUAAAAGUAAUCACGCCUGCCUGUCUACCUUAUAGGGUUGUUGUGGUUAUGAAAUGGUUAUACAUAUCAAUCCAUUUAGAAACGUUUAAUGGGAGGUUUA